rnacentral:rRNA from 1 species
ACGAACGCUGGCGGCGUGCUUAACACAUGCAAGUCGAACGGAAAGGCCCUGCUUUUGUGGGGUGCUCGAGUGGCGAACGGGUGAGUAACACGUGAGUAACCUGCCCUUGACUUUGGGAUAACUUCAGGAAACUGGGGCUAAUACCGGAUAGGAGCUCCUGCUGCAUGGUGGGGGUUGGAAAGUUUCGGCGGUUGGGGAUGGACUCGCGGCUUAUCAGCUUGUUGGUGGGGUAGUGGCUUACCAAGGCUUUGACGGGUAGCCGGCCUGAGAGGGUGACCGGCCACAUUGGGACUGAGAUACGGCCCAGACUCCUACGGGAGGCAGCAGUGGGGAACAUUGCACAAUGGGCGGAAGCCUGAUGCAGCAACGCCGCGUGCGGGAUGACGGCCUUCGGGUUGUAAACCGCUUUCGCCUGUGACGAAGCGUGAGUGACGGUAAUGGGUAAAGAAGCACCGGCUAACUACGUG